rnacentral:rRNA from 1 species
CAGCAGCCGCGGGAAUACGGAGGGUGCAAGCGUUACUCGGAAUCACUGGGCGUAAAGGACGCGUAGGCGGAUUAUCAAGUCUCUUGUGAAAUCUAACGGCUUAACCGUUAAACUGCUUGGGAAACUGAUAAUCUAGAGUAAGGGAGAGGCAGAUGGAAUUCUUGGUGUAGGGGUAAAAUCCGUAGAUAUCAAGAAGAAUACCUAUUGCGAAGGCGAUCUGCUGGAACUUAACUGACGCUAAUGCGUGAAAGCGUGGGGAGCAAACAGGAUUAGAUACCCGCGUAGUCCCUGUCUCUUAUAC